UUUGAUGGCGACCGGCGCACGGGUGAGUAACACGUAUCCAACCUGCCGAUGACUCGGGGAUAGCCUUUCGAAAGAAAGAUUAAUACUCGAUGGCAUAAUUCUUCCGCAUGGUGGAACUAUUAAAGAAUUUCGGUCAUCGAUGGGGAUGCGUUCCAUUAGGUUGUUGGCGGGGUAACGGCCCACCAAGCCUUCGAUGGAUAGGGGUUCUGAGAGGAAGGUCCCCCACAUUGGAACUGAGACACGGUCCAAACUCCUACGGGAGGCAGCAUG
rnacentral:rRNA from 1 species